AUUGAACGCUGGCGGCAGGCCUAACACAUGCAAGUCGAGCGGAUGACGGGAGCUUGCUCCUCGAUUCAGCGGCGGACGGGUGAGUAAUACCUAGGAAUCUGCCUGAUAGUGGGGGACGACGUUUCGAAAGGAACGCUAAUACCGCAUACGUCCUACGGGAGAAAGCAGGGGACCUUCGGGCCUUGCGCUAUCAGAUGAGCCUAGGUCGGAUUAGCUAGUUGGUGAGGUAAUGGCUCACCAAGGCGACGAUCCGUAACUGGUCUGAGAGGAUGAUCAGUCACACUGGAACUGAGACACGGUCCAGACUCCUACGGGAGUCAGCAGUGGGGAAUAUUGGACAAUGGGCGAAAGCCUGAUCCAGCCAUGCCGCGUGUGUGAAGAAGGUCUUCGGAUUGUAAAGCACUUUAAGUUGGGAGGAAGGGCAGUAAGCUAAUACCUUGCUGUUUUGACGUUACCGACAGAAUAAGCACCGGCUAACUCUGUGCCAGCCGCCGCCGUAAGAC
rnacentral:rRNA from 1 species